GUAGCUAUAAAUUAAAAUUAAAAAUAUCAUAGCUUUCCAUCUUGCUUGUAGCUCUCAUGGCUAACAAUCCCAUGGAUUUGUGAUUUUUAUUUUUUUUGAAAUUUGGAAAAUUUAAAAGUAAAAAAUGCAUGACCAAUUAGAUCGUGGGAUAUUCUCCCGGCCAGGAUGAACCGAAAAAGGUCCGCUUUAGAUCACCUGCUGCUGUGUAAAUAGGGAAGGAACGCCGAUGAUUGAGGAUGACGUACGUGUAUGCCAAAACAUGGACGGUGGACUCCGCUCAAUCAAGAGCCGUUGUCCAAUACACAUACGGUGGGUGAUCAACGGGACUUCUACCCGCUCGAUUGGAUUGGAACUGUGCAACCCACGAGGAGAAGUGGGCUGGAGGGGUGAUCUUCGGAUCGAAUCUUCCCCGUUUGGACGGAGUCUCAGCCAGAUAGGGAGCCUCGACGUUGCCCGCCAUGGUCAGCGAGGAGGUCGGCACCAAGCUCGUCCGCUUCCUCUACUUCGUCGGCGCCGGAGUCAUCUGCACGAAGGGGAUCAACCUCUGGCGAGACUAUGAGAGGAAGGCCGCCAUGAAGACGGCCGAAACCCCUCAGGCUCCGGCAGAGAUGGUAAACGGAGCUGCCGCCACCCCGAAAUCUUGAAUCUUGAUUAGGGCUGUGCGGGUUUUAUCUGGACAUUUGGAAACUGGAUGGAAAUAUGUACAAAAAUUACUGCAAUAAUGCUUUUCUUUGGUAUUCUAUUCUUGAUUUCAUCUGCAUUGAAUGGGGAAGGGAAGGUUCCUGGUCAUGCAGGUUGGGCGGACGAUGAUUUCUGGUCGAUGAAGGCCUUUUAUAUGUUCCUUGUGCAUUGUUAUUUGACUGGGGCAAUCAAAUAUUUGAUUGUCUUGUUCCUUCUACUGGAUUUCUUUCUGUAAUAAUUAAACCAUUAUGAUGGAGCAAAGUUUCUGCCUCCCAUGUGGAGGUUCCUUUCCAAGGUGAAGGGGAUGCUGAGACUGUGAUCAUGCUUGCAUCUUAAUGUGGUGAAGCUUGGGGACUUCUAUCGAAAUUUUCAUGGUACCUCUUGCAGUCA